rnacentral:rRNA from 1 species
CCAAUAGCGUAUAUUAAAGUUGUUGCAGUUAAAAAGCUCGUAGUUGAACUUCGGGAUUUGCCCAUUGGUCAGGCUUAACUGUCUGCACUGGUGUGACGAGUUCCUACCUUCUGAGGAAUCUCCAUGUCAUUCAGUUGGUGUGGGGGGAAAUCAGGACUGUUACUUUGAAAAAAUUAGGGUGUUUAAAGCAGGCAUCCGUAUGAAUACAUUAGCAUGGAAUAAUAAAAUAGGACGGUUUGGUUCUAUUUUGUUGGUUUCUAGGAUCACCGUAAUGAGUAAUAGGGAUAGUUGGGGGCAUUAGUAUUCAAUUGUCAGAGGUGAAAUUCUUGGAUUUAUUGAAGACUAACUACUGCGAAAGCAUUUGCCAAGGAUGUUUUCAUUAAUCAAGAACGAAAGUUAGGGGAUCGAAGACGAUCAGAUACCGUCGUAGUCUUAACCAUAAACUAUGCCGACUAGGGAUCGGACGAAGUUAAUUUUUUAAUGACUCGUUCGGCACCUUACG